AUACGGAGGAUCCGAGCGUUAUCCGGAUUUAUUGGGUUUAAAGGGAGCGUAGGUGGAUUGUUAAGUCAGUUGUGAAAGUUUGCGGCUCAACCGUAAAAUUGCAGUUGAAACUGGCAGUCUUGAGUACAGUAGAGGUGGGCGGAAUUCGUGGUGUAGCGGUGAAAUGCUUAGAUAUCACGAAGAACUCCGAUUGCGAAGGCAGCUCACUAGACUGUUACUGACACUGAUGCUCGAAAGUGUGGGUAUCAAACAGGAUUAGAUACCCUGGUAGUCCACACAGUAAACGAUGAAUACUCGCUGUUUGCGAUACACUGUAAGCGGCCAAGCGAAAGCGUUAAGUAUUCCACCUGGGGAGUACGCCGGCAACGGUGAAACUCAAAUGAAUUGACGGGG
rnacentral:rRNA from 1 species